rnacentral:lncRNA from 1 species
AGUUUGCUGCCACCUGUUGAACGCAAUACGAUACGGGGGUCGUUUUUAAGGGUCUUUGGGGGUCGGAGCUGUGACAUUUCGGGGCCAUCGGGAUUACGAUUAACGUUCCUUUUAGGGUUACGACUGCGGUUGCGUUAAAGGAUGGCGCUUUGGAUUCGGUGCUCGUGAACGGAGCGCAGCGCACAGGAAGGCAAUGGGAGCAGCGGAGCAAAGGAAGGAGAACGCGUGGCGGAAAGCGAGAGGGAAAAGACGGACCGACGGUCCGUGGGCGGAGUGCUCGGCCACCCCUGGAGCGCUACGCAGAAUUUUCUGCCCUUUUUACGCCUCCGAGCGCUCGGGAGCCACUGCCUGGAGGACUGAGCACAAGAGAGAUUGGAGGGCUGGCUGCGCAGAGCGGCCGCUUCCGGAUUGCGCACGCAUGCGCGUUGGCGCCUGGAUGACCUUUAACCAUAGAGACGGGCGGCGCGGAGCGGAGACGGAACGUCCCCCGCUGCAGUUCCGCGCUUUGGCCACGUGGGGGCAGCAGAGACAGAAGGCGGUCGCAGUUCCGCGUGGGGCGCUCCGUUCGUUUUCCUUCGGAUUUCGGGUGAAGAACUCAAUGUUGGGGGGGGGAGAAAGGACAAAUUCUCCAAACCCAGGAAAGCUGUGUUAAUUGUUCACGAAUUUCUGUGUAAAAAAAGAAAAAAAGGAUGCGAUCCGAGCUUUGCUCCUGCGCCGCCAACCGCUGUCUGCUUAAGGACGCCGUGGAGCUCCGGAUGCUAAACUGUGCUUUGGGGAUGAAUUCGAGAUGUUCGGGGCUGUCCCCGUGAUGGACGGGCAGCGCCGUGCGGAAGGCUGUGGAGGUGGACACCGCCUGCGGUGGUCAGGCACUGCAAUGGGCUGCCCAGAGAGGUGGUGGAGUCGCCGAGCCUGGAGGUUUAAAGAGUUAAUGCCCCACUUCCAUGGACCGCCAGCUUUCCGGAUUCCAGGCUCUCAGAAGAGAACUGCAUGCCCCAGAGGACUUUGUGUUCAAAGGAGAAGAUCAGACCCACAAGUCAUGGGACUCACUCCCU